AGGAGGAGGACAGGCCACGAGCAGACAGCUCCACCUGCUAAUGAUUCACCCUCCGUACAGACACAUGCUUUGUGUGGUUUCGCAGAAUAGUUCAGUGUAUCACCAGCAAAAUGCUGGAGAACAACAAGGCGCUGCCCUCCUGAGACGGAGCCGUGGGCCCAGACAAAGGUGGGCCUGUGGUCCGGUCCAAUCACAACCUGUGGAAAAUCCCCCGCCGCUGCCGGGCCAAGAUGCCGGCGCUGCGAGAGGAAUGUGAGAGGCAGACGAGUCCAGAAGCAACGCGGGCACGAGGGAAUUCCUGCUGUGUGGACGCAAGCUCUGCAGCGGCCAUGUCUGACCUCCAGCAGCUGUACAGAACCUCUCAACCUGCAGGCCGGCGUUAGCUGCGACGGAAGCGCUUAAACAGCAGAACGCUGCUAAUGAGUACAGAAGCAGAGACACCGAGAGCGUUGGGUGAGUGAAUGGAGCCGUGUGCACGGAGCAGGGGAUGGAAUGGAGCCUGCUCGGCCUUUCUCCACCCACGCCCCUGUGGACCCGUCAAAGUCGCGCUGCGGUCCAGAGAUGAGACGCCACGACGCUGAUUUACUAUUCAGAGGUUAUUCAUCGCCUGUGGAUAAAAAGACAAUUGAAUUAAGUUGUUGGAAGCGCCGAGGCUGCGGCAGCGCAGGCGAAGCUGCGUGAACCGAGACGGAGCGACGCAGAGAGCGACGCCUGAUGCUCCGAUGCUCCGAUGCUCCGAUGCUGCUUCUUGGAUCGA